AACGAACGCUGGCGGCAGGCCUAACACAUGCAAGUCGAACGGUAGCACAGAGGAGCUUGCUCCUUGGGUGACGAGUGGCGGACGGGUGAGUAAUGUCUGGGAAACUGCCCGAUGGAGGGGGAUAACUACUGGAAACGGUAGCUAAUACCGCAUAAUGUCGCAAGACCAAAGAGGGGGACCUUCGGGCCUCUUGCCAUCGGACGUGCCCAGAUAGGAUUAGCUAGUAGGUGGGGUAACGGCUCACCUAGGCGGCGAUCCCUAGCUGGUCUGAGAGGAUGACCAGCCACACUGGAACGGAGACACGGUCCAGACUCCUACGGGAGGCAGCAGUGGGGAAUAUUGCACAAUGGGCGCAAGCCUGAUGCAGCCAUGCCGCGUGUAUGAAGAAGGCCUUCGGGUUGUAAAGUACUUUCAGCGAGGAGGAAGGUGUUGUGGUUAAUAACCGCAGCAAUUGACGUUACUCGCAGAAGAAGCACCGGCUAACUCCGUGCCAGCAGCCGCCGUAACAC
rnacentral:rRNA from 1 species